CUGAAGCCUUCUGAAGUGGGAUGGUGGUACUCUGUAUGGGCUGGUGCUUGAGGCCUCCUGGAAUUGUCUGGUGGCCAUCUCAGCUGUGACAUGGGCUGUGACACCUCUUAAUCUUCAGAGCAGUUACAGGGCCCCCUGUGGUCCCCAGCAGGCAGAGUGCCACAUCCCUGGGAGUGCACAUGGCACACACCCCCUCACUGUGCAGAGCAGAGCCAGCCCUCUGACACACUGAAAUAGAGGCUACAACUGUACAAGGACUGAAUUUGCAUCUCAGAAAGGAUAACUUCCAGAGGAAAAUGAAAUGUGGGAGACUGGCCUCAAAUCUUCAUUUCAGUCUUGCCACCACAGAAAUUUGUGAGAAAUCAAUCUUGUCUUCAAAUCAAUCUUGUCUGUCAUUUCCUGAAACUUGGAUAUAAUUGAGGGAUCUUCACCCUCAUCAAGAUAUUUGCUCCAAAAUUGAAAGAUUGCAUGCAAAAUCCCAAGCUUGGAAAAUUUUGGUAGCAAAUCUAGAAGUCAAAAGAAGUAUUAAUGGAAAUGUGUGUAAUGACUGAAGAACAUGUAAUGUGUGGUAAGAUGUCUUUGUCAUAUCUUAUAGACCAAAACCACUCUGUUCA